AUAUAUAGGUUUACAUUAUUGGAGGUGAUGGAACCCAAAAAGGAGCAAGUGCAAUAUAUAAGGAAAUUAGGCGUCGUGGACUUAAAGUUGCAGUUGCAGGAAUACCAAAAACCAUUGAUAACGACAUUCCAGUCAUUGACAAAUCCUUUGGAUUUGAUAGUGCGGUUGAGGAGGCUCAACGUGCUAUUAAUGCAGCGCAUGUUGAAGCGACCAGUGUGGAAAAUGGUAUCGGACUUGUCAAGCUAAUGGGUCGCUA